UAUCAUAAUGUACUUCCUUUCAAUACUAUACACAGCAGGAACAGAUCUCUAAAACCAAAAGAACGUAAAUUAUCCAAGUCUCAAGAUCAUAUCAGGCAUGUAUUCAUACACUGAUACACAUUUCUAUACACAUACUUAGAUCCGAGUAUACAGUUUGCAAUUUCUACUCUCCAAUCAAUGACUACAUCCAUAUUUAACCUGUGCAGCAUAGGUCAUACCUUACUUAAUUACCCCCAUGGUGAGUUGCCGAACUUAACCCCAAAUAUCAACAUAAUUUGUUGAGAUCCAGACCCAGCCUGGCCUGCCUUCCAAGUCAAAGGUCAACCCCUUACUUGGGCUUCAGGAGUUAUGCUGGAUCAUGGGUUUCCAGGUGAGAAUAUGAAUAAUUAAAUAUUUCUGACUGUCUGGGCAUGUACAUUAUUCUAUUAAGUUUAUGUAUCAGCAACAAUUGUCAAAUAAGAAUAUAAAUACAUCAAAUAGCAACAAACAGUAGAAGAAAAAUAAAAAAAUUUGGGCCAAGUUGGCUUUAACCAUCAUGUCCAAGCCUGGCCCAUUUAUUAAACAAAUCUAUUUCCCAGACUUGGCCGAGCAUGUGGAGUCUAAAAAUUUGUCCUCAGGCUGUCCAAAAGGUUUUGGGCUUCAGCAGGCCAAGCAGGGCCGCCCAACAAACAGGCAACGUUUAAUAUUAUUAGAAGGAGAAAUUCUUUGUGCACCAUGAGCGGUGCAGAACAUCCGCACCAUUUGUGGUGAAUGGCUCACAUGCAGGGCCAGAGUGCAGCACAUAAAAAAUAUUUUUUUUCUUUCUAUCCUGUAUAUGAGUCAAUCAUCAUGGAUGAUACGUGCGGUUCUGCAUCGUCCAUGGUGUUUAAAGAAUUUCACUUAUUAGAAAAAAAAAUAGAUAAUGUUGAAGAAACUUUAACAAGAGAUCACAUUCGAAGAAAAGCCCAGGUGCCAUGGCAAAAAAACAUCCGGCGAUAAUGAGUGUUGGAAAAUUAAUAAUAAGCAAAAGAUAUAUAAAAUAAAUUAUAUAUAAUUUUUUUUAAAUAAUAAAAUAUUAAAUUGAGAAGAUUAAAGAGUGAUCUAAAAUCGAGGCACAUCUAAAAACGCUAUCUUAGAACCGAUAUCGCCUCCUACGUACAAAGCUAUUGGCUGCUGCUCCUAAAGAUCAUUCGGUAGAUGACUACUUAUUUUUCUCCGUCAACACGACACCAAGAAGGCUGGAUACAAACUUAAGAAGCCUUCGGAGCCCAGCAAAAUAGGAGAAUAAGACAAUAGAAUCUUUUGUAUAUGAUUUUCCUCCCAUUCUAACCAAUAUAUACAGUAACUACAACAGAGAAAAGUUCGGAAUCUUUUUUUUGGCAACGGCUUUUUGUAAUCCCCAGCUGCUUUUGCCGGGAUUUGAGGUGAAUGGAAGUGGCAACCAGCAAGUAGCCUACAGCCUAUAGCCUCUAGAGGUUGUGUGCAGAAAUGAUGAGAUUGCCCACGCUAGUCUGGUCAGCUAAAAGGAAAAGCUUAUUGGAAAAUUUAUAUAAAUUACGUUCCAUUUUAUUUAGUUUUCUUUUUUCUCGCUGAACAUAGCCCUCCACAAAUUUACGGUAUGGUACUACUUUGAUCGACUAAAGAAGGCUCCAAUUUAUACCAAAAAAAAAAAAGGAAAGAAAGGCUCCAAUUCACUUACCGGUAAAUCUCUUGAUAAUCAAAUUUACUAGGAGUUAGAUUCCUUAUUUAAAUUUUGUGGACAAUUAUCAAUAUAGUGUCCAAUCUUCUGAUAGAUUUUACAUUUUCUUAUCUGACAAUUGACUAUGUAGUAACCAGGCAUGUGACAAUACUUACAAACUAUCUAAUCUACAACAAUUUGUAGAAGUGUACUAAGAACAGCCUUUGUGCUUGGAUUUGAGUAAGCCAAGUCUUGCUUUUUCGAAGAUAAGUUUAGACACAACAGAUUCAAGAGAUGGCAAGAUACCAUAAUGAAGAAGUGGUGGCCUUACUGGUUCAAAAUUAUCUCUAAGAGCUCUUUAGAAAGCAAAUUUUUCAACAUUAUUGUUAUGCCAUACUGAGGCUUAGAUUAUGUUGACUAAUCCCACAUAGCAUGCAUUUUAGAAAGAAACUCAUGAACAGAUCCUAUCUAGGUUCUUGGUUCAUGUGGUGUAGGUAAACAACAGUUGAUACUAAUGGACGAUAAUCGCGAUGGAAUACCUCUUAGCCAAGAAAUCCCAAAGCUCCUUGCUUGUUCCAAAUUAACCAAACUAAAGAUGAAUGGAAGGAAACAAAGUAAUCCUGGACAAAAGGAAGCUCCAUAACAACCUUCCUAAUAGAAGGAGUCAAAUAAGGAAGCUCCAAUAAAUAAAUUACUCUCAAGUCUUUUGGAUAAUCUCAUUAGAUCUUGUCUUACAUGGGCAAUCAAAUGGAAUAAAAUAUCAUUAAUGAUUAAAAAAAAAUAUUCACAAGUUACAUAAAGCAAGGUAUAAAUGAUAAAAUUAAAAAAAUAAUAUUAAUAAGAUCACUAUUUAUUUAAAAUUUUAAAUCACAAAAGAAUUACUAAAUCCAACAAUAAGCACCUCCUCCUGGGGAUGGGAAAUUCCUAAAUGAACUCUACUCACCUUCCCUAUGCGCCAUGCCGACCCCCUCACGCGGGCUUCUGUCAAACAACUCAUCUAACCGGGCUUUCUCUAAGGCUUGUGCAUGUCGAAGGUGAAUGCAUGGUGGCCUUUAUAUGAUGAGAGCUGCAUCGAUUCUGCCCUUGGGGCCUUUGCUCCCCCUUCCCAAGGGGGAGGGAGAGGGAAAGAGGGGCCUCUCCCUCUCGCUCUCCCCGGGGGAAGGGAAAGAAUCGUCAAGGAGGAGCUUCCACUGCAUUGACCCACAGGCAAAAGAGUACAUGGAUCUUAUCCAAAAAAAAUUUAAAAAAAAAAAGAGAGAGAGUAUAUGGAUCAGCACAAGGGACCGUUUGCUUCCCCUGGCCCCUAAUCCUCUCCCUGGGGAGCAG
rnacentral:lncRNA from 1 species